GGGUUGUGAGGUUAAGCGACUAAGCGUACACGGUGGAUGCCCUGGCAGUCAGAGGCGAUGAAGGACGUGCUAAUCUGCGAAAAGCGUCGGUAAGGUGAUAUGAACCGUUAUAGCCGGCGAUGUCCGAAUGGGGAAACCCAGUGUGAUUCGUCACACUAUCGUUAACUGAAUACAUAGGUUAACGAGGCGAACCGGGGGAACUGAAACAUCUAAGUACCCCGAGGAAAAGAAAUCAACCGAGAUUCCCCCAGUAGCGGCGAGCGAACGGGGAGCAGCCCAGAGUCUGAAUCAGCUUGUGUGUUAGUGGAACGGUCUGGAAAGUCCGACGGUACAGGGUGAUAGUCCCGUACACCAAAAUGCACAGGUUGUGAACUCGAAGAGUAGGGCGGGACACGUGGUAUCCUGUCUGAAUAUGGGGGGACCAUCCUCCAAGGCUAAAUACUCCUGACUGACCGAUAGUGAACCAGUACCGUGAGGGAAAGGCGAAAAGAACCCCGGCGAGGGGAGUGAAAAAGAACCUGAAACCGUGUACGUACAAGCAGUGGGAGCACCUUCGGGUGUGACUGCGUACCUUUUGUAUAAUGGGUCAGCGACUUAUAUUCUGUAGCAAGGUUAACCGUAUAGGGGAGCCGCAGGGAAACCGAGUCUUAACUGGGCGUUAAGUUGCAGGGUAUAGACCCGAAACCCGGUGAUCUAGCCAUGGGCAGGUUGAAGGUUGGGUAACACUAACUGGAGGACCGAACCGACUAAUGUUGAAAAAUUAGCGGAUGACUUGUGGCUGGGGGUGAAAGGCCAAUCAAACCGGGAGAUAGCUGGUUCUCCCCGAAAGCUAUUUAGGUAGCGCCUCGUGAACUCAUCUUCGGGGGUAGAGCACUGUUUCGGCUAGGGGGUCAUCCCGACUUACCAACCCGAUGCAAACUACGAAUACCGAAGAAUGUUAUCACGGGAGACACACGGCGGGUGCUAACGUCCGUCGUGAAGAGGGAAACAACCCAGACCGCCAGCUAAGGUCCCAAAGUCAUGGUUAAGUGGGAAACGAUGUGGGAAGGCACAGACAGCCAGGAUGUUGGCUUAGAAGCAGCCAUCAUUUAAAGAAAGCGUAAUAGCUCACUGGUCGAGUCGGCCUGCGCGGAAGAUGUAACGGGGCUAAACCAUGCACCGAAGCUGCGGCAGCGACACUAUGUGUUGUUGGGUAGGGGAGCGUUCUGUAAGCCUGCGAAGGUGGCCUGUGAGGGUUGCUGGAGGUAUCAGAAGUGCGAAUGCUGACAUAAGUAACGAUAAAGCGGGUGAAAAGCCCGCUCGCCGGAAGACCAAGGGUUCCUGUCCAACGUUAAUCGGGGCAGGGUGAGUCGACCCCUAAGGCGAGGCCGAAAGGCGUAGUCGAUGGGAAACAGGUUAAUAUUCCUGUACUUGGUGUUACUGCGAAGGGGACGGAGAAGGCUAUGUUAGCCGGGCGACGGUUGUCCCGGUUUAAGCAUGUAGGCUGAUUAUCCAGGCAAAUCCGGAUAAUCAAGGCUGAGGUGUGAUGACGAGGCACUACGGUGCUGAAGUAACAAAUGCCCUGCUUCCGUGAAAAGCCUCUAAGCAUCAGGUAACAUCAAAUCGUACCCCAAACCGACACAGGUGGUCAGGUAGAGAAUACCAAGGCGCUUGAGAGAACUCGGGUGAAGGAACUAGGCAAAAUGGUGCCGUAACUUCGGGAGAAGGCACGCUGGUGUGUAGGUGAAGUCCCUGCGGAUGGAGCUGAGACCAGUCGAAGAUACCAGCUGGCUGCAACUGUUUAUUAAAAACACAGCACUGUGCAAACACGAAAGUGGACGUAUACGGUGUGACGCCUGCCCGGUGCCGGAAGGUUAAUUGAUGGGGUUAUCCGUAAGGAGAAGCUCUUGAUCGAAGCCCGGUAAACGGCGGCCGUAACUAUAACGGUCCUAAGGUAGCGAAAUUCCUUGUCGGGUAAGUUCCGACCUGCACGAAUGGCGUAAUGAUGGCCAGGCUGUCUCCACCCGAGACUCAGUGAAAUUGAACUCGCUGUGAAGAUGCAGUGUACCCGCGGCAAGACGGAAAGACCCCGUGAACCUUUACUAUAGCUUGACACUGAACAUUGAGCCUUGAUGUGUAGGAUAGGUGGGAGGCUUUGAAGCGUGGACGCCAGUCUGCGUGGAGCCAACCUUGAAAUACCACCCUUUAAUGUUUGAUGUUCUAACGUUGGCCCCUGACCGGGGUUGCGGACAGUGUCUGGUGGGUAGUUUGACUGGGGCGGUCUCCUCCCAAAGCGUAACGGAGGAGCACGAAGGUUAGCUAAUCCUGGUCGGACAUCAGGAGGUUAGUGCAAUGGCAUAAGCUAGCUUGACUGCGAGCGUGACGGCGCGAGCAGGUGCGAAAGCAGGUCAUAGUGAUCCGGUGGUUCUGAAUGGAAGGGCCAUCGCUCAACGGAUAAAAGGUACUCCGGGGAUAACAGGCUGAUACCGCCCAAGAGUUCAUAUCGACGGCGGUGUUUGGCACCUCGAUGUCGGCUCAUCACAUCCUGGGGCUGAAGUAGGUCCCAAGGGUAUGGCUGUUCGCCAUUUAAAGUGGUACGCGAGCUGGGUUUAGAACGUCGUGAGACAGUUCGGUCCCUAUCUGCCGUGGGCGCUGGAGAAUUGAGGGGGGCUGCUCCUAGUACGAGAGGACCGGAGUGGACGCAUCACUGGUGUUCGGGUUGUCAUGCCAAUGGCACUGCCCGGUAGCUAAAUGCGGAAGAGAUAAGUGCUGAAAGCAUCUAAGCACGAAACUUGCCCCGAGAUGAGUUCUCCCUGAGACUUUAAGUCUCCUGAAGGAACGUUGAAGACGACGACGUUGAUAGGCCGGGUGUGUAAGCGCAGCGAUGCGUUGAGCUAACCGGUACUAAUGAACCGUGAGGCUUAACCUUACAACGCCGAAG
rnacentral:rRNA from 1 species